GCGGCCAUGGCGGAAUUGGUAGACGCACUAGCUUGAGGUGCUAGCGGGGCAACCCGUGGAAGUUCGAGUCUUCUUGGCCGCACCA
rnacentral:tRNA from 1 species